GACGAACGCUGGCGGCGUGCUUAACACAUGCAAGUCGAACGGACAGGCCCUGCUUUUGUGGGGUGCUCGAGUGGCGCACGGGUGAGUAACACGCGAGUAACCUGCACUUGACUUUGGGAUAAAUCCAGGAAACUGCGGCUCAAACACGAUAGGAGCUACUGAUGCAUGGUGGGGGUUGGUAAGAUUCGGCGUUACGGGCUGGGCUAGCGGCUUAUCGGCCUGUUGGUGGGGUAGGGGCUUACAAAGGCUAUGAAGGGUAGCCGGCAUGAGAGGUGGACCGGCCACAUUGGUACUGAGAUACGGCCCAGACUCCUACGGGACGCAGCAGGGGAGAGUAUUGCACAAUGGGCGGAAGCCUGAUGCAGCAGCGCCGCGUGCGGGAUAACGUCCUUCUGGGGGUAAACCGCUUUCGCCGUUGACGAAGCGUGAUUGACGGUAAUGGGUAAAGAAGCACCGGCUAACUACGUG
rnacentral:rRNA from 1 species